rnacentral:rRNA from 1 species
AGCAGCAGCCGCGGUAAAACAGAGGGUGCGAGCGUUAAUCGGAUUUACUGGGCGUAAAGCGUGCGUAGGCGGCUUCUUAAGUCGGAUGUGAAAUCCCUGAGCUUAACUUAGGAAUUGCAUUCGAUACUGGGAAGCUAGAGUAUGGGAGAGGAUGGUAGAAUUCCAGGUGUAGCGGUGAAAUGCGUAGAGAUCUGGAGGAAUACCGAUGGCGAAGGCAGCCAUCUGGCCUAAUACUGACGCUGAGGUACGAAAGCAUGGGGAGCAAACAGGAUUAGAUACCCCGGUAGUCCCUGUCUCUUAUAC